rnacentral:rRNA from 1 species
AACGAACGCUGGCGGCAUGCCUAACACAUGCAAGUCGAACGAGACCUUCGGGUCUAGUGGCGCACGGGUGCGUAACGCGUGGGAACCUGCCCUUAGGUUCGGAAUAACUCCCCGAAAGGGUGCUAAUACCGGAUAAUGUCUUCGGACCAAAGAUUUAUCGCCUUUGGAUGGGCCCGCGUUGGAUUAGCUAGUUGGUAGGGUAAAAGCCUACCAAGGCGACGAUCCAUAGCUGGUCUGAGAGGCUGAUCAGCCACACUGGGACUGAGACACGGCCCAGACUCCUACGGGAGGCAGCAGUGGGGAAUAUUGGACAAUGGGCGAAAGCCUGAUCCAGCAAUGCCGCGUGAGUGAUGAAGGCCUUAGGGUUGUAAAGCUCUUUUACCCGGGAUGAUAAUGACAGUACCGGGAGAAUAAGCUCCGGCUAACUCCGUG